UGGUCCAGAAUACCUUUCUUUUGAUAUACAGUUGAGAUGCUGGCUUCUGUGAUAGAAGAAAUGCAUCGAAAGAUGAUGGUGUAUGAUAAUUUAACUACAAACAAGUUCUAUAACGAAGGCACAUAAUAAGUGGUCUAAAAUGCUGUUACCUAUUAAAGGAGCGAAAAUUCUGCAAAUACCCACAUUUUCGCGCUGAGCAGAGUGAGGAGCUUUGAGCAAAGAAGAAAGGAGUGUGUACAAAAUAAAAAUAUGUAAACAGAAAUCCUAAGAAAUUUAGAAAUUAAAAUAAAGUAAUUUUCAAGCUGG